AGUGCAGGGUUCCUACAUGCAUGCGACCGCCUCCGAAUUGACGGGCUGCCUCCCAAUGGAUUACAAUAGACCGGCUGCCUCCCGUGGAACUAGACGGUACCGUAAGAAUAAGCACCGGCUAACUACGUGCCAGCAGCCGCGGUAAUACGUAGGGUGCAAGCGUUAAUCGGAAUUACUGGGCGUAAAGCGUGCGCAGGCGGUUAUAUAAGACAGAUGUGAAAUCCCCGGGCUCAACCUGGGAACUGCAUUUGUGACUGUAUAGCUAGAGUACGGCAGAGGGGGAUGGAAUUCCGCGUGUAUCAGUGAAAUGCGUAGAUUUGCGGAGGAACACCGAUGGCGAAGGCAAUCCCCUGGGCCUGUACUGACGCUCAUGCACGAAAGCGUGGGGAGCAAACAGGAUUAGAUACCCUGGUAGUCCACGCCCUAAACGAUGUCAACUGGUUGUUGGGAAUUCACUUUCUCAGUAACGAAGCUAACGCGUGAAGUUGACCGCCUGGGGAGUACGGCCGUAAGGUUGAAACUCAAA
rnacentral:rRNA from 1 species